GGGCCUAUAGCUCAAUUGGUAGAGCCACCGGCUCAUAACCGGUAGGUCCCUGGUUCGAUCCCAGGUGGGCCCA
rnacentral:tRNA from 1 species